AGCUUUGGAAAGAGGCCAUGAGAUGGCAUCUGCUAUCUGGGUAGGUCAACUCAUAUUGGACAUGCGUUGCUUGCCCUUUGACAAAUUAGAGCAUUGGUCCGGCAUGUGUCUCAUUUCUUGUCCUGUUUGUCUGAACAUCUCGACGCAGAAAACAUCCAUGUCGAAAUGCCGAACUUUUGUAGUUUUGUUUGGCAGUGUCAUGCAUGCAUCACGCUUUCCCUUGAACGGUCUUUUAUCAAUGUUCGGCGGACCGGAUGAUUCCUGGAGAGGGAAAGCAGGACAAGUUCGAGAUCUUCACUAGUUCCAGA
rnacentral:lncRNA from 1 species